rnacentral:rRNA from 1 species
AACGUUACCAAACUGUUGCCUCGGCGGGAUCUUCUGCCCCGGGUGCGUCGCAGCCCCGGACCAAGGCGCCCGCCGGAGGAAUCAACCAAAACUCUUAUUGUAUACCCCCUCGCGGGUUUUUUUUAUAAUCUGAGCCUUCUCGGCGCCUCUCGUAGGCGUUUCGAAAAUGAAUCAAAACUUUCAACAACGGAUCUCUUGGUUCUGGCAUCGAUGAAGAACGCAGCGAAAUGCGAUAAGUAAUGUGAAUUGCGGAAUUCAGUGAAUCAUCGAAUCUUUGAACGCACAUUGCGCCCGCCAGUAUUCUGGCGGGCAUGCCUGUCCGAGCGUCAUUUCAACCCUCGAACCCCUCCGGGGGGUCGGCGUUGGGGAUCGGCCUUCCUUCACGGGGGCCGUCUCCGAAAUACAGUGGCGGUCUCGCCGCAGCCUCUCCUGCGCAGUAGUUUGCACACUCGCAUCGGGAGCGCGGCGCGUCCACAGCCGUUAAACACCCAACUUUCUGAAAUGUUGACCUCGGAUCAGGUAGGAAUACCCGCUGAACUUA